rnacentral:rRNA from 1 species
UGAGUAACGCGUGGGUAACCUGCCCUUAAGUCUGGGAUACCAUUUGGAAACAGAUGCUAAUACCGGGUAAAAGCUACUUUCGCAUGAAAGAAGUUUAAAAGGCGGCGUAAGCUGUCGCUAAAGGAUGGACCUGCGAUGCAUUAGCUAGUUGGUAAGGUAACGGCUUACCAAGGCGAUGAUGCAUAGCCGAGUUGAGAGACUGAUCGGCCACAUUGGGACUGAGACACGGCCCAAACUCCUACGGGAGGCAGCAGCU